rnacentral:lncRNA from 1 species
UGCUGGAAAUCAGAAGUGAGCGAUGUAAUGAUCUGGAUGGAAAGUGAUUGGGCCAGGUGUGUGUUGCUAUUUUUACAGCGUGGAAGGAAAAAACAUCUGGAGAAAUUACCAAAAUGAAUUUGGUGUUCGGAACAGGAGAUAAAUUGUAGCCCCAUAAUGUGGGUGUGGAAAAGUAGUGUUCAGGUGACUAGUAUAAGGGAAUUUGGGAACAGAAGGGUUGGCAGGAUCACAGUUUGGGAUGUGCUAAGGAGGAUGGUGAGGAUAUCUCACACAGGCUACUUGCUGGAUUGACACAAGUCAAGAGUGGAAAAAAUAAUAUGUAGAGUCAUCAGCAUAAAAUGAUGAAAAGCCUCAAUAAGCAGAUGAAAUGCUCUAAAGCAGAUCUGCAUAGUGAGCGUACCACAGCAAAGGCAAUCUAUGGUGGCCAGAACAAGUAAGAAAAAGAGAAGGAAGUAAAAGACGCAUUGAUGGCAGAAUGACAGAGAGCCAGAGAGCUGGCAAUGACCAGCACAAUGAAAGCUGCAUGCAAGCAAGCUGGAAAGGAAAUACUUGACUAUCAGUGUCAGAACUGGCAGCAUAGUCAAGAAGAAUAUAGGAAAAGCUAUAAGAUUUCUCCCUGCUAGAAGAAAAUACUUUGGCAAGCAGAGACUAGUGAGCAGAAAUCCAUCCAUGCAGGCUUUGACAGUCUUUUCUUCAGACUUGCAGUACCAGGAGAUUUUAGCAGGAGAGCUAACAGCAGAAAUUGUAAUUCUUUCACCCUUCUCUGCUUGACAUUUCUGCAAUUUUGGAGCAUAACCUAACCUCGGAUCAAACUUUACAAAUACUUAUGUUGGUUAGAACAAUAAGUCAUUAUGGUACUGUGUCCUGUACCCAAGUUCACAAGGACUCUGUGAACAAGGAGAAAAUGGGAUUUGCAUAUCACUUUUGUGUAGAGAAUAAAAAAUGCCAUCCCUGGGCCUUCACUGGCUGCUCAGCUGUGACAGUUCCUGUGCUUCCUUCUCCCACCCAGCCACCGAUAGCCACGUUGUCCUGCGUCCUGCAUCACUUGCCUGAAAGGGCCUCUAGCUUCCCCAUCUUGUCAUAGUCUUCUGCAUUCUCACAACUUUCAUGUUUUCCAUGAUUUUCCCAGUAAUUCUCUUUGCUUCAUACACAGUCAGUUCAGCGACUUUCUGGAUUUGUCUUCUCCAAAAUGUGUGAUGUCAUUGUGGUAACUCUGCAAACAUCAGGUUUGACUUAGUUCCAUGAGCAGUUGAUAGUGUAUGACAGCCAUGUAAUCGGUCAUCAGAUUUCCCUGCAAUAAUGAUGUACAAGCUUCUCAGAGGUUCUCUUGGUCCUUGUCUCACAUUUUUUGCCUCGUCUUUCCUAGCUCAGCCGCAGUUUUCUUGACUCAGAUAGUCAACCACCCUCUUGCCCGUUGUCCUUCCUCCCAUCCAUUCCAGCACGAGGCUCUCCUUUGCUCUUUUGUUCUUAUUUCUUCAACAGACAACAUACAUUGCAUUAGUGCCCCUAACCAGUGCACACUAUUAUAACUCUUAUACUAUUAGGAUUAAUUUUCCAAUUCAAAUAUAAGAUGCUUUUUUUGAAGCAAACCUCAGUUUUUUCAUUCUGUGAAGACAAUCACAGUUUAAUGUAAACAAAGGAUUUUUUCAGAAAGAAUAAGUGAUUUAGAUGCAAAUAUCAUAUUUAUAUAUACACAGACCAGCAAGGUAGAUUGACAUAAAUGAGGUUUUAUGGUCUGUUUCUGGCCCUAAACACUACCAUGCUGAAAUGCUGUAGUGAAUGAUUUGGCAUAUUAAGUAAAGAAAAGAAAAUCACAGGGCAACUUCAUAGAUUUAUUACAGUAUAUCUUUUUAAUAAGCAUGUUCACUGGAGAUUAUAUCAGACUUCAUAAUAACUAGUACAAAGGAUAUAUGUGAUGACAUGACAGUAGCAUGGAAUCUCAGAAAUCAUGUUCACUGUGCCUGUCCACCCUCAGAUGUGCAUUAGUAAAUCCUAAUGCAGUUAAUGGCAUUUGUGCAGUGAAAGGGAAAUGUAGUUCUUAUUUUGAAGAGAAUUGGAGUAUGAUGAAGCGUAGUGUUAAGGGAUGGCAAUGCCAAACAAGCAGCCCUAUGUAUAAUGUAAAUGGAAGAAGAAAUGAUGCCAUAGGGAAAGAGUCCAAAGAAAGCAAAAUAAUUGCCUGAAAAUCUGUGUGUUUAUCAUAUAUAAUCAAUAUUUUAGGAAGCUAGGGAAAUCUUUGAGAACUAGUGUAAGCUUUAAAGUUUAUAAGGAUUUUACUGGACAUGAAGAAAGGAGACAUAAAAAUUAUCAGAAAAAGGGUUAAUCCAGCACAAAUAGGCAAGAAAAUUAAAACUGUAUAAGCAAUUACAGAAAAGAUAGAUGUCUUAUAAAUACUUCUAAGGACAAAUAAGCAUGUUAAUGACUGAUUAUAUUCUUGUCAUUAAUAAUAGCUUUAAUUAACAGUAUCUUUAACUUGUUGAUCGAAUAGCAAAAUAAAUGAAAAA